AUUUUCUUCACUUUUCUUAAAAAAGGAAACUCAAAAACUCUCUCAAUCCCUUUUGGGCAAUCCGAUUUCUGGUCUAAAGUCCGGCCGUCGGCCACCGCGCCGGCCGCCGGUCACCGGCGAUGGCGCCGCCGUCCGCGGUGGCCGAAAAAUAAAUAAAAAAAAUCUUUUUUUCUUCCGACACACUCCCUUGGCUUCCCCGAGCACUCCGGCACCACCAAUGAAGGCACAAGUGGGUAGAAGAGCGGCGGAGCAGGUGGUGGCAGUUGGGGUCAGUGCACGGCAUUAGGGAUUAGUUUAGGUGCUGCUUCAAGUUUUAUACCCUGUUUACCCUCCCGAUCGACGCUUCCCCUUUCCAUCUUCUGUUCCUUCCUUGUUUCUGCCGAUUUGCUCCCUCUGUCUCUCUGCCCAUAAUACUCUCCAGCAAUAUACACACCGACGCACAAGGAAAGCACUGUUGGUAAGCCUUUGUUUCUCCUACCCUGAACUUUUCUCCAGAAACAAGCCAUGACAGCACAAUAAUUAGCCAUAUAAUUCAUUCACCCAAGUUUCUUCUUCCUUCCUCUCUCUCCUUCUCCUUUUCUGGGAAGUUGAAGCUUUUGACAAUGGCCGUGCAAUCAAGAAAAUGGAUGAUAUUAGUAGCAACUAUAUGGAUACAAGCAUUUACAGGGACCAACUUUGAUUUCUCAUCAUAUUCUUCCACAUUGAAAUCAGUUCUUGGGAUAUCUCAACUGCAGCUUAACUAUUUGUCCGUUGCUUCAGAUAUGGGGAAAGCAUUUGGCUAGUGUUCUGGGGUGUUUUUACUGUAUUUCCCUUUGUGGGUUGUGAUGUUCAUGGCUGCUUUCUUUGGGUUUUUUGGCUAUGCUCUUCAAUGGCUUGUUAUCAAACAAAUCAUUUCCCUGCCUUAUUUCCUGGAAUAGGUACCAAUUUGAUCAAGUUACUUAGGAUGCCAUGGUUGAUAGACUGAGAAGUUUCUCCCUUGACGAUAACAACUUUGAAGCGGUGAAGCAGCUUUGUUGCAACAUUGCCAGUAAAUUUGAUGUUUGAUCUAAAAGUUUUUAAAUGCAUGUUUAUAUAUUUUGGAAUUAUGUUGCCAAUGGAAUCUUGUUUUUCUCCUAUUGCCUAUUGGGAACUGAGGCUUGUAAUAGGGGGUUGACUUGUUUGUUUAUGAGGAUGACUGGAUCAAAAGCUAUAUUUGGAAGUUGUUUUGCUGAUUAGGAUGACUUUUAUUUUGCUGAUAAAUGGAGAAAUCAGUUGAAGUA